AACGUAGGAGACGAACGUUAUCCGGAGUUACUGGGCGUAAAGGGCGUGUAGGCGGUUUGUUAAGUCUGGCGUGAAAGCUCUCGGCUAAACCGGGAGAGGUCGUUGGAUACUGGCGAACUCGAGGAUGGUAGAGGCGUGUGGAAUUCCGGGUGUAGUGGUGAAAUGCGUAGAGAUCCGGAGGAACGACCAGUGGCGAAGGCGACACGCUGGGCCAUACCGUGACGCUAAAGCGCGACAGCAUGGGGAGCAAACAGG
rnacentral:rRNA from 1 species